rnacentral:lncRNA from 1 species
AAGCAGGUUUAUGGAGUGCAAUUUGAUAGCUAAAAUUCUCAUUUGUUAGUUCACAAUAUAAACUUUUUUCUAUAUUUUCUAUGCCCCCAAACAUCUUUCUUCUCAAUUUUCUGAAAUUUAUAAUCACAACUAUCUUAUAAAGUACAUUAGUGUUUGUAUUUGUAGAGACCCUUGUAUUUGUAAUGCCCUCUCAGGCAUUAGAGACCCUUGUUGCUCUUGCAGAACACAUUGAUAAUGUUCCUGGCUCACACCUAGCUGUCUGUAACUCCGUUUCAGGAGAAUCUAGUGUCCACUCCUGUCACAAUCAGGCAAUGCAUAUAUAUAUACUGUGUAAAUGUAUAUGCAUGACAAAUAUUCACAUGCAUAAAAUGAAAGAAAUAAAUGAAAUAAGUAAAUCAAAAAAUAAAGUCCAAUACAAAUUUUCACAUAUCUGUAAUGCUUAAUGAACAUAGCUUUAAUAAAUCAGUUUGGAGCAGACAGUUCUCAUGUCAUAGAACCAUAGGAACAAUAAAAUACCAAAGAGUAUCUCUUAUUUAUGUUAAUGAAAAACUUGAUGAAAUGAAAUAACUGAAGGCUUAUUCACUUCUAAUAUGGUUGAUUUUACCUGCUCUUAACUAUUCAUAUGUGUUUUCAUGAAAACAAUGGCAUGCCUGUUGACAACUCAGUUCUACUGGAGCACCAUCCUUGCUAGAAUAUAUUAGUCAGACAUGAUUUUAGCAGAACAUCUUUCUGAAAAUAAUAAGCAAGGGAAGAUAAUUAAUCUCAUUCUAAGAUCUUUGUAAAAUAAUAGGUUAUUAAAUGAGACACAAAACAUGGUUAGAGUUAAUAAUGAAUUCAUUAAUCAAAAAAUAGUAAAUUUAUACAUCUUAUUAAGACUCCCAAAGUGAACUUUUCUAGUAGAACAGAAUAUAUUUAAUAAGGUAGAUUAUCCCCAAUAAAAAAAAGUUUUUGUAUCUAGGGUAAUGCACCUUAAAUAUCUCCAAAUACAAAACUGUAUUCAUUAUUUUAAAAUAUGAAAAUGUGUAAGUUAUAUUUGCAUUAUUGUAAUAGUAUUUUAAUCUUAUCUUUAAAAUAAUGCUCACCAGCAAAUUAUUGACCAAUGCUGAGAAACAGUAUUUCUUUUCUAUAAGCUCAUGAUUUUGUGAAGUUGAUAGAGUUCUUGUGUAAAGUCUUUACAUCUCCAGCAUCUUAUAUGUUUCUGUUUGUCAUUUUCUGGGCUCAUAACCCUGUCAAAGAUGCCAUUUUAUUCAAUUUUCAUAUGAAUAGGGUUUAUGGAAUGGCAUUUAGUAGACACAGAAUGAGAUUGCUAGUUUUCAAUCUACAAAGUAAUUGGAAAUUAAAAAUCUAUAUAUUUCUAGACCUCAUAAACCAGGCUUGGAGACACGUUUACAAUAUUAGAACUUAGGAGAUUGAAUCAAUAUGAUUAAAAAUUCAAGAACUACAAUAUAAUCUGAAUCCAGCAUCAGCUAGAUGAGCACCUACAAAACAACAAAAAACAAAACAACAAC